UGGGAUACUACCCUAGCUGUGUUGGCUUUCUAACCCGCACCACUUAUCGUGGUGGGAGACAGUGUCAGGCGGGCAGUUUGACUGGGGCGGUCGCCUCCUAAAAGGUAACGGAGGCGCUCAAAGGUUCCCUCAGAAUGGUUGGAAAUCAUUCAUAGAGUGUAAAGGCAUAAGGGAGCUUGACUGCGAGACCUACAAGUCGAGCAGGGUCGAAAGACGGACUUAGUGAUCCGGUGGUUCCGCAUGGAAGGGCCAUCGCUCAACGGAUAAAAGCUACCCCGGGGAUAACAGGCUUAUCUCCCCCAAGAGUUCACAUCGACGGGGAGGUUUGGCACCUCGAUGUCGGCUCAUCGCAUCCUGGGGCUGUAGUCGGUCCCAAGGGUUGGGCUGUUCGCCCAUUAAAGCGGUACGCGAGCUGGGUUCAGAACGUCGUGA
rnacentral:rRNA from 1 species